UGAGCCUGAGAGGUGAUGCGUAGCCGAUUGAGGUGAAUUCAGUGAUCCUAUGCUGCCGAGAAAAGCCUCUAGUGAGUUGGUACACGGCCCGUACCCCAAACCGACACAGGUGGUCAGGUAGAGAAUACCGAGGCGAUCGAGAGAACUGUGGUUAAGGAACUCGGCAAAAUGCCCCCGUAACUUCGGGAGAAGGGGGACCUGAUCUGGUGACCGGUCUUGCACCGUGAGCUGGGUUGGGUCGCAGAGACCAGAGAGAAGCGACUGUUUACUAAAAACACAGGUCCGUGCGAAGUCGUAAGACGAUGUAUACGGACUGACGCCUGCCCGGUGCCGGAAGGUUAAGAGGACCGGUUAGCGCUUCGGCGCGAAGCUGAGAAUUUAAGCCCCGGUAAACGGCGGUGGUAACUAUAACCAUCCUAAGGUAGCGAAAUUCCUUGUCGGGUAAGUUCCGACCUGCACGAAUGGCGUAACGACUUCUCUGCUGUCUCAACCACAGACUCGGCGAAAUUGCAUUACGAGUAAAGAUGCUCGUUACGCGCGGCAGGACGAAAAGACCCCGGGACCUUCACUAUAGCUUGGUAUUGGUGUUCGGUACGGUUUGUGUAGGAUAGGUGGGAGACUGUGAAAGCCACACGCCAGUGUGGUGGGAGUCGUCGUUGAAAUACCACUCUGAUCGUAUUGGACUUCUAACCUCGGGCCAUGAUCUGGUUCAGGGACAGUGCCUGGUGGGUAGUUUAACUGGGGCGGUUGCCUCCUAAA
rnacentral:rRNA from 1 species